rnacentral:rRNA from 1 species
UACGUAGGGGGCGAGCGUUGUCCGGAAUUACUGGGCGUAAAGAGCGCGUAGGCGGCUCUGCAAGUCGCUUGUGAAAGCCCCAGGCUUAACCUGGGGAUUGCAGGCGAAACUGCGGAGCUUGAGUGCGGUAGAGGAAAGUGGAAUUCCUAGUGUAGCGGUAAAAUGCGCAGAUAUUAGGAGGAACACCAGUGGCGAAGGCGACUUUCUGGGCCGCAACUGACGCUGAGGCGCGAAAGCGUGGGGAGCAAACAGG